ACACAUGCAAGUCGAACGAGAAUCUACUGAAAGAGUUUUCGGACAAUGGAUGUAGAGGAAAGUGGCGGACGGGUGAGUAACGCGUGAGGAACCUGCCUUGAAGAGGGGGACAACAGUUGGAAACGACUGCUAAUACCGCAUGACGCAUAGAGGUCGCAUGAUCUUUAUGCCAAAGAUUUAUCGCUUCAAGAUGGCCUCGCGUCUGAUUAGCUAGUUGGCGGGGUAACGGCCCACCAAGGCGACGAUCAGUAGCCGGACUGAGAGGUUGAACGGCCGCAUUGGGACUGAGAUACGGCCCAGACUCCUACGGGAGGCAGCAGUGGGGAAUAUUGGGCAAUGGGCGCAAGCCUGACCCAGCAACGCCGCGUGAAGGAAGAAGGCUUUCGGGUUGUAAACUUCUUUUAAGAGGGAAGAGCAGAAGACGGUACCUCUAGAAUAAGCCACGGCUAACUACGUGCCAGCAGCCGCGGUAAUACGUAGGUGGCAAGCGUUGUCCGGAUUUACUGGGUGUAAAGGGCGUGCAGCCGGGUCUGCAAGUCAGAUGUGAAAUCCAUGGGCUCAACCCAUGAACUGCAUUUGAAACUGUAGAUCUUGAGUGUCGGAGGGGCAAUCGGAAUUCCUAGUGUAGCGGUGAAAUGCGUAGAUAUUAGGAGGAACACCAGUGGCGAAGGCGGAUUGCUGGACGAUAACUGACGGUGAGGCGCGAAAGUGUGGGGAGCAAACAGGAUUAGAUACCCUGGUAGUCCACACUGUAAACGAUGAAUACUAGGUGUGCGGGGACUGACCCCCUGCGUGCCGCAGUAAACACAAUAAGUAUUCCACCUGGGGAGUACGAUCGCA
rnacentral:rRNA from 1 species